CCAAAUACAACGGCCGAAAGGCCUGCCCGAGGGGUGCCUUGUGUUCCCCGACGGUAAACCCUUUGUGAAAACCCCCUUGUUUGCUUCGGCGGCACCUUCCCCCUAUUGGGGGGAAGGGUCAGCCCGCCGACGGCGCUAUUUGAAACCCUUGAAGCAAUGAAGAACUUUGUCUGAACCAAUGGUCGAAUGACUAUA
rnacentral:misc_RNA from 1 species